rnacentral:rRNA from 1 species
GAUGAACGCUGGCGGCGUGCCUAAUACAUGCAAGUCGAGCGAACGGACGAGAAGCUUGCUUCUCUGAUGUUAGCGGCGGACGGGUGAGUAACACGUGGAUAACCUACCUAUAAGACUGGGAUAACUUCGGGAAACCGGAGCUAAUACCGGAUAAUAUUUUGAACCGCAUGGUUCAAAAGUGAAAGACGGUCUUGCUGUCACUUAUAGAUGGAUCCGCGCUGCAUUAGCUAGUUGGUAAGGUAACGGCUUACCAAGGCAACGAUGCAUAGCCGACCUGAGAGGGUGAUCGGCCACACUGGAACUGAGACACGGUCCAGACUCCUACGGGAGGCAGCAGUAGGGAAUCUUCCGCAAUGGGCGAAAGACUGACGGAGCAACGCCGCGUGAGUGAUGAAGGUCUUCGGAUCGUAAAACUCUGUUAUUAGGGAAGAACAUAUGUGUAAGUAACUGUGCACAUCUUGACGGUACCUAAUCAGAAAGCCACGGCUAACUCCGUG